UACGAAGGGGGCUAGCGUUGCUCGGAAUCACUGGGCGUAAAGCGCACGUAGGCGGAUCUUUAAGUCAGGGGUGAAAUCCUGGAGCUCAACUCCAGAACUGCCUUUGAUACUGGGGAUCUCGAGUCCGGAAGAGGUGAGUGGAACUCCGAGUGUAGAGGUGAAAUUCGUAGAUAUUCGGAAGAACACCAGUGGCGAAGGCGGCUCACUGGCCCGAUACUGACGCUGAG
rnacentral:rRNA from 1 species